CAGGUAGCUCAGUUGGUAGAGCAGCGGACUGAAAAUCCGCGUGUCGCUGGUUCGAUUCCGGCCCUGGG
rnacentral:tRNA from 3 species